CACAGGUUCUAGGCAUGGGGGAGGCAUACAGCAUGGAUCUGCCCUCAUGGAGGGCUCUUCAGGACAAAGCUUUCACCUAACAGAAGUGGAGUGCUGAGCAAAGGAACAGAUCUUCCGCCUGGCUGCAGACUCCGCCCACCUAAGACCCCGCCCAAGACGCUCUCCAGGGUGCUGAGCCAAGCCUGCCGCCUUCUACGGCCCUUGCCCUCCACACGAGGUGUUCCCAGGAAUCUAUCCGGAUGCAGCUUAGCUCCAAAGGACAGAGAGAACACAGAAGAUCAGAGAUCUAAGCAACUGUCAAAGCCACGCAGACUAUAAAGGACAUCUGCCUACA